GGAUCAUUAAAGAGUUUAAUAAAACUCCUAAACCCCUGUGAACUUACUGGUGUUUGGCUCGCCAGAUAUAGUCUGGUCCGUAAGCAAAUCGACUGCCUGCCUGUGUAACAGGCAGGUAAGCUUUUGUCGCGGGGUCCCGGAUCAACCCGGGCUAGAUAGCCACUUAACUAUAUACUUUUUAUAAAAUCUGUGAACUUACUAGGUUGGAUUCUCGCCAGAGAUAGUCUGGUUUCUGCCACGCAGAUCGACUGCCUGCCUGUGACACCUGUCACAGGUAGGUAAGCUUUUGCCGCGGGUCCGCAUGUAAAUCGUCUGUUUCACAAGGGACGGCGAUUUACCUGUGGAAGAGGUCCGCUAACUAUAUUCUUAGUAUAGUUUGUUCACUAGAUCAAACAUUCUGAAUAAAAACUUAAACUAGUUAAAACUUUCAACAACGGAUCUCUUGGUUCUGGCAUCGAUGAAGAACGCAGCGAAAUGCGAUAAGUAAUGUGAAUUGCAGAAUUCAGUGAAUCAUCGAAUCUUUGAACGCACAUUGCGCCCAUUAGUAUUCUAGUGGGCAUGCCUGUUCGAGCGUCAUUUCAACCCUUAAGCCCCUGUUGCUUAGCGUUGGGAGCCUACAGCCUGCUGUAGCUCCUUAAAGGUAGUGGCGGAGUCGGUUCACACUCUAGACGUAGUAAAAUCUUUAUCUCGCCUAUGGAUGAGCCGGCGCCUUGCCGUAAAACCCCUAAUCUUUCACAAGGUUGACCUCGGAUCAGGUAGGAAUACCCGCUGAACUUAAGCAUAUCAAUAAGCGGAGGAAAAGAAACCAACAGGGAUUGCCCUAGUAACGGCGAGUGAAGCGGCAACAGCUCAAAUUUGAAAUCUGGCCUUCGGGUCCGAGUUGUAAUUUGCAGAGGAUGCUUUGGGCGCGGUGCCUUCCGAGUUCCCUGGAACGGGACGCCUUAGAGGGUGAGAGCCCCGUACGGUUGGACACCAAGCCUCUGUAAAGCUCCUUCGACGAGUCGAGUAGUUUGGGAAUGCUGCUCUAAAUGGGAGGUAAAUUUCUUCUAAAGCUAAAUAUUGGCCAGAGACCGAUAGCGCACAAGUAGAGUGAUCGAAAGAUGAAAAGCACUUUGAAAAGAGGGUUAAAUAGCACGUGAAAUUGUUGAAAGGGAAGCGUUUGCGACCAGACCUUUUCCCAGCGGAUCAUCCGGUGUUCUCACCGGUGCACUUCGCUGGGUUGAGGCCAGCAUCGGUUUCCGCAGGGGGAUAAAAGCCUGGGGAACGUAGCUCCCUCGGGAGUGUUAUAGCCCCUCGCAUAAUACCCUUGCGGGGACCGAGGACCGCGCU
rnacentral:rRNA from 1 species